rnacentral:lncRNA from 10 species
GGCCCCUGCAGCAGCAGCGGCGUGGUCAGAGCGAGCUUCGGAGAAGCAGUGGUGGGUUCCAUGUGAUGGUGGAGUAGGAGGCAGGUCUCCGCGGUUUCUUCAUGUGGCUGCAGAUGGCAGGAUUUCCCAAAGGUUUCUGGCUGAAACAUAUUCCGUGGUGUAUCUGUACAGCAGUUUCCUCAUCCCUGCAGCUGUGUUUGAACAGGUCAUUUACCAUGCUGUCCUCCAGGUUCAACAGUAUGGCUCCAAAGGAUGAAAUUUCAUUCUGAUUUUCUGGCUGAAGACUAUUCUCUUUGUGUAUGUCCACCACAGUUACUUUAUCCCUUCAUCUGUGGAUGGGCAGUCUCGCUGUAUUGCCCAGGCUGGAGUGCAGUGGCAUGAUCUCAGCUCACUGCAAGCUCUGCUUCCUGGGUUCACGCCAUUCUCCUGCCUCAGCCUCCUGAGUAGCUGGGAUUACAGGCACCCGCCACCACGCCCAGGAAAGAAAAAAGAAGAAAACAAACCUCCAUACGAGAAUGGGUCUAAAGGAACUUCCCAAACCUCCAUGAUUUUGCAGGAAACAAGAUAAAGUGACACUGAAUACUGCAGAGCCAAAGAUGAAAGGGGAAGCAAUUCCAGGCCGAUGAGAAGAUGCACGAUUGCCAUUCAG